ACAGGGCCACUCUCUAAAGCGCGUGCGCAAAGUGGGGCUGCAGUGGCUGCCUUCCCUGGAAAUGCAGAUAAUCGGGCAGCUGCGAAUGAGAGUGCGGAGAAACUGGGACACUCCCUGGCAGCCUGCUGAAAAACGAAACAUGCCCACCAGUAAAACCUGGAUGAGAAUGCUGGAAGCAGCGUUAGUCAAGAUGUGCAAGCAACCAAAUGGUUCGAGGCCAGCCUGGGAGACUUAUCUCAAAAACAAGCCCCCACCCCACCCCCGGUUGCGCCUCGUACCACAAAAAAAAAAAAGGGAAAAAAAAGUACUUGUACGCCCAACAAGGUAAAUGGUAGUGUUUUGCUAACUACCAAAGAUGA